UGUAAUAAACUCUUAAAAUAGUAAAUGAAUGACUAGUUGGAAACUUGGGUCACUUGAAUUGAGCUUUUGAUCAGGUACAUAGGUAUCUCUAGAUGCACUUAGAUCUUAUGGGAAAUAGAGAAUGACAAAUAGAGUGGUGCAGUAUUCAUAUUUGAAGAAUAGUAUAAUGUUACCCUUGAUGACUUUGAUACUACUAAUCUUAAAUUGAAAUUUCCUACUUCUUUUUUACUUGAAUUUUUAGUUUGAAGGCCUGAGAUAUUUUUUGUUAUCUUGAAGGUUCUCCGGACUCCUGUCUUUCACAAUUGCAAGGCAGCUCAUGAAAUUCGAGAACAGAUGAAGCUUUUGAUGGAUCUAUACAAAGAGAUGACGGCAGAAACAAUCUCCACAGACAAGUUUAAGAAUGUUCCGGAAGGUCCUUUGUCGGGCGAAAUCCAAUAUGGGCAAAAGCAUAAUCACCAAUACGCUAAGCCGACUGAGCAGCCUUCGGCCCCUGUCCUAUUGGGAACUAUAUCCGACAAGCAGACUCAAGGGACUUACAUUGUCGGAGGAUCGGCUUUUGGUUGGAAUUUUGUCACUUACCCUGGUAGCAAAUCAGUCUACUAUGGCAGAACUAAGGAAAUGUUUAGGUCUGCAAAUGUAGUAAUUCCUCAAGAAAACCCCAAUUUGACCUAGGAUUCUCUCUCUCUCUCUCUCUCUCUCUCUCUCUCUUCACCCCUGUUGAGUGUAAGACUAUUAGUUCACCCCAUGUUAUAUAGAUGGGGAUUUACAUAGGUGGUUAUAUCAUCAACUGUAAGGGGGUGGAAAUUUGUAUUGAAAUCAAUGUUGAAACUGGUUUUAAUGUUCAGAUCAGGUUGUGUUGUCAUGUUGCCUAA